GCCCGUUUAGCUCAGUGGUAGAGCGUUGCACUUGUAAUGCAAAGGUCGGUGGAUCAAUCCCGCCAAUGGGCA
rfam:Rhizoclosmatium globosum strain JEL800 BCR33scaffold_162, whole genome shotgun sequence.